GCUUGCUAGGAGCAGAGAUGUUGUUAACUUAGUGGCGGACGGGUGAGUAACGCGUGGGUAACCUGCCGUAUACAGGGGGAUAACACUUAGAAAUAGGUGCUAAAACCGCAUAAGCGCACAGUUCCGCAUGGAAUGGUGUGAAAAACUCCGGUGGUAUACGAUGGACCCGCGUCUGAUUAGCCAGUUGGCAGGGUAACGGCCUACCAAAGCGACGAUCAGUAGCCGGCCUGAGAGGGCGGACGGCCACAUUGGGACUGAGACACGGCCCAAACUCCUACGGGAGGCAGCAGUGGGGGAUAUUGCACAAUGGGGGAAACCCUGAUGCAGCGACGCCGCGUGAGUGAAGAAGUAUUUCGGUAUGGAAAGCUCUAUCAGCAGGGAAGAAAAUGACAGUACCUGAGUAAGAAGCCCCGGCUAACUACGUGCCAGCAGCCGCGGUAAUACGUAGGGGGCAAGCGUUAUCCGGAUUUACUGGGUGUAAAGGGAGCGUAGACGGUUAUGUAAGUCUGAAGUGAAAGCCCGGGGCCCAACCCCGGGACUGCUUUGGAAACUGUGUAACUAGAGUACAGGAGGGGCAGGCGGAAUUCCUGGUGUAGCGGUGAAAUGCGUAGAUAUCAGGAGGAACACCGGCGGCGAAGGCGGCCUGCUGGACUGAAACUGACGUUGAGGCUCGAAAGCGUGGGGAGCAA
rnacentral:rRNA from 1 species